rnacentral:lncRNA from 1 species
AGUCUCAGACUUUGGUUCAAACUGACUUCAUACCUUAUUCAAAAUAUCUUGAACCAAGUCUAGAAACACUUAGACACGAUUUUCACUGAAACACUUAAUUGAAUUCAUUAGUAAACAUAAGAUAUACUCAAAUGCUUUGAGCUCAUCAAAAUCAAAUAGGGGUUUUAAUCAAUCACUCCACAAUCUCCCCCUUUUUGAUGAUGACAAAACUUUGAGUAUAUGUAAAGUGAAUUGCUCAAUAAAUAAGGAAAUAAAAUCCAUAAAUGAAUUCAAAUGUCUGGUAAUUUAAUAUAUCCAAGCUUGAAAGGUGUGAAGCAAUAAAUUUUGGAAUUAAAGCUCCCCCUUUCAUUUGGAAUUAUAUAAGCCUUCAUAUCAUGCAAUCAAUUGUUUGGCUUAUAUAUAUUUAAUGAUUUAGCUUUCUUAAAAACAUUCAGAUUCUCCCCCUCAACAUAUGCAUUCUACUUAUGAUUUGAUUCUCUGAAUUUUCUUUUAAUGUAUUGAAUUUUUUGAUUUUAAAUUUUUGGUUUUUAGAGGGAAAAUCUGUCAAUUUGUUCUUGAGUUGAAUUCAGCUAAUC